rnacentral:rRNA from 1 species
ACUCCUACGGGAGGCAGCAGUGGGGAAUUUUGCGCAAUGGGCGAAAGCCUGACGCAGCAACGCCGCGUGAGUGAUGAAGGCCUUUGGGUCGUAAAGCUCUGUCAGUGGGAGCGAAGUGUAGGGGGUUAAUAGCCGACCUAUUUGACGGUACCCACAAAGGAAGCACCGGCUAACUCCGUGCCAGCAGCCGCGGUAAUACGGAGGGUGCGAGCGUUGUUCGGAUUUAUUGGGCGUAAAGCGCGUGUAGGCGGUUUGUUAAGUCUGAUGUGAAAGCCCCGGGCUCAACCCGGGAAGUGCAUUGGAAACUGGCAGACUUGAAUACGGGAGAGGGUAGUGGAAUUCCUAGUGUAGGAGUGAAAUCCGUAGAUAUUAGGAGGAACACCGGUGGCGAAGGCGGCUGCCUGGACCGAUAUUGACGCUGAGACGCGAAAGCGUGGGUAGCAAACAGGAUUAGAUACCCUGGUAGUCCACGCCGUAAACGAUGAGAACUAGGUGUCGCGGGUA